AACUUGAUUUCAGUCGCAAAUGUUGUGCAAUUAAGCAAGAGGAUCUACUAUUUAUUUAUGCCAAAGAAAGGGAGCUAAGCUUAGCUAGCUGCAAAGGAAGGAAGGAAGGCUACUGCAAGUAAUAGUAGAUCACUCUUUGGCUGCUGCGCUGCACUGCAAGUCUGCAACUACUAAAGCGGACAGAAGAAGAAGAAGAAGAAGAAGGUGAAGAAGAGGAGGAAGGAAGAAGGGUAGUAGAGAGGAGCAUGCAGUACAUGGCAUGAUUCUGCCUGUGGCUUUUAGUAGAGAAGAGUAAUUGAGCUCUUCUGCAUCUCCUCUCUCUGUCUGUCUCUCCUCCAUCCAAAGUCUGCAUGCAAGAACAUCUUCUUAUGAUGGCUCUUUCCCUCAGUGGAAGCCACACUGCCUCCUUCCAAAGCAAAGGUCCCAACUUUUGCUGUUGCAUGGGCAAGCUAAGGAGUACUGUGUAGCUUAGCUAUAGCUAGCUCUGCCUUGCAUUUGCAUUGCAUUGCACUUGUGGGAAAAGAAAGGGAGAAAGUUAUACUCCUUCCUAGUACAAUGGUGCUGUGUGUGUGUGUGUGUUUUCUCUCUUUAUUCCUCUCCUUUUGUAAUUUUGUUUUGCUCUUCUUGGAUCAGCCUGAAGCAUGUAUGCAUGCACAUGAGAUGUGUGAGUGAGAUCUACUGCUAGUAGUAGCAAACAAGAUAGAGAGAAAGAACCUCCUGUUCCAUGAAGAAUUUUUAUCUUCAAA